UCCUCAUGGCCCUUAUGGUAGGGCUUCACACGUCAUACAAUGGUCGGUACAGAGGGUUGCCAACCCGCGAGGGGGAGCUAAUACCCACAAAGCCGAUCGUAGUCCGGAUCGCAGUCUGCAACUCGACUGCGUGAAGUCGGAAUCGCUAGUAAUCGUGGAUCAGAAUGUCACGGUGAAUACGUUCCCGGGUCGUU
rnacentral:rRNA from 1 species